rnacentral:misc_RNA from 1 species
UUUCCGUAGGUGAACCUGCGGAAGGAUCAUUAAAGUUAUAGUCCCCCGGCCCCUCCGGGCUGGGGUCUUCUAUACCACCCUUUGUUUAUUACACCUUUGUUGCUUUGGCAGGCCUGCCCUCGGGCUGCUGGCUCCGGCCGGCUCGGGCCUGCCAGAGGACCUAAACUCUGUUUGUAUAUGACGUCUGAGUACUAUAUAAUAGUUAAAACUUUCAACAGCGGAUCUCUUGGUUCUG